CUUUUUUCGAGAGUUCGAUCCUGGCUCAGGAUGAACGCUGGCGGCGUGCCUAACACAUGCAAGUCGAGCGG
rnacentral:rRNA from 1 species